UACGAAGGGUGCAAGCGUUGUUCGGAAUCAUUGGGCGUAAAGCGCGCGCAGGCGGAUCAGUAAGUCAGGUGCGAAAUCUCGAAGCUCAACUUCGAAACUGCGCCUGAAACUACUAGUCUAGAAUAUCGGAGGGGGAAGGGGAAUUUCACGUGUAGGGGUAAAAUCCGUAGAGAGUGAAGGAACACCGGGGGCGAAGGCGC
rnacentral:rRNA from 1 species